rnacentral:snRNA from 1 species
GGAUGUGAGGGCGAUCUGGCUGCGACAUCUGUCACCCCAUUGAUCGCCAGGGUUGAUUCAGCUGAUCUGGCUGGCUAGGCGGGUGUCCCCUUCCUCCCUCACCGCUCCAUGUGCGUCCCUCCUGAAGCUGCGCGCUCGAUCGAAGAGGACGACCAUCCCCGAUAGAGGAGGACCGUUCUUUGGUCAAGGAUAUACGAGUAGCUGCGCUCCCCUGCUAGAACCUCCAAACAAGCUCUCAUGUACCCAUGUGUUACGACUCACGUUGAUUCACCUCUAACUCAUCUUUACACUGGUUCCUGAUCCCCUGCUCAUGAUAACCUCUGU